CAGCCGCCAGGGAAUACGGAGGGUGCAAGCGUUAAUCGGAAUUACUGGGCGUAAAGCGCACGCAGGCGGUCUGACAAGUCAGAUGUGAAAUCCCCGGGCUUAACCUGGGAACUGCAUUUGAAACUGUCAGGCUGGAGUCUUGUAGAGGGGGGUGGAAUUCCAGGUGUAGCGGUGAAAUGCGUAGAGAUCUGGAGGAAUACCGGUGGCGAAGGCGGCCCCCUGGACAAAGACUGACGCUCAGGUGCGAAAGCGUGGGGAGCAAACAGGAUUAGAUACCCCUGUAGUCCCUGUCUCUUAUACA
rnacentral:rRNA from 1 species